rnacentral:snRNA from 1 species
AUACUUACCUGGCAGGGGAGACAUCAGGAUCAUGAAGGUAGUUUUCCCAGGGCGAGACUGAUCAUUGCAAUGGGGACCAGCUGACCCCUGCGAUUUCCUUCAUGGGGGAAACUAAACUGCAAUAAUUUGUGUUGGUGGGGGACUGCAUCCGUGCUUCCCCCCC